ensembl:rRNA 5S_rRNA 5S ribosomal RNA
GUCUACGGCCAUACCACCCUGAACGCUCCCGAUCUCUUCUGAUCUCAGAAGCUAAGCAGGGUCGGUCCUGGUUAGUACUUGGAUGGGAGACCACCUGGGAAUACCAGGAGCUGUAGGCU